UGCCUCUCUCAAUCCGUGUUAAGAUCUCGUCAAACACCAACCCAUUAGUGUUGAUGAGACUUUCAAGUGAAGAAGUG
rnacentral:pre_miRNA from 1 species